CCUACGGGUGGCAGCAGUGGGGAAUAUUGGACAAUGGGGGGAACCCUGAUCCAGCCAUGCCGCGUGUGUGAAGAAGGCCCUCGGGUUGUAAAGCACUUUCAGUGAAGAAGAACGCCUGGUGGUUAAUACCCAUCAGGAAAGACAUCACUCACAGAAGAAGCACCGGCUAACUCCGUGCCAGCAGCCGCGGUAAUACGGAGGGUGCGAGCGUUAAUCGGAAUUACUGGGCGUAAAGCGCGCGUAGGUGGCUUGAUAAGCCGGUUGUGAAAGCCCCGGGCUCAACCUGGGAACGGCAUCCGGAACUGUCAAGCUAGAGUGCAGGAGAGGAAGGUAGAAUUCCCGGUGUAGCGGUGAAAUGCGUAGAGAUCGGGAGGAAUACCAGUGGCGAAGGCGGCCUUCUGGACUGACACUGACACUGAGGUGCGAAAGCGUGGGUAGCAAACAGGAUUAGAUACCCUAGUAGUC
rnacentral:rRNA from 1 species